UACAGAGGGGGCAAGCGUUGUUCGGAAUUACUGGGCGUAAAGGGCGCGUAGGCGGCCUGUUAAGUCGAACGUGAAAUCCCCGGGCUCAACCCGGGAACUGCGUCCGAUACUGGCAGGCUUGAAUUCGGGAGAGGGAUGUGGAAUUCCAGGUGUAGCGGUGAAAUGCGUAGAUAUCUGGAGGAACACCGGUGGCGAAGGCGGCAUCCUGGACCGGUUCUGACGCUGAUGCGCGAAAGCGUGGGUAGCAAACAGG
rnacentral:rRNA from 1 species